AAACUGCUUUUAUAUAGGAAGAAACCUACUUACGUGUAAGUAGCUGACGGUACUAUAAGAAUAAGGAUCGGCUAACUCCGUGCCAGCAGCCGCGGUAAUACGGAGGAUCCAAGCGUUAUCCGGAAUCAUUGGGUUUAAAGGGUCCGUAGGUGGAUAAUUAAGUCAGAGGUGAAAUCUUGCAGCUCAACUGUAAAAUUGCCUUUGAUACUGAUUAUCUUGAGUUAUUAUGAAGUAGUUAGAAUAUGUAGUGUAGCGGUGAAAUGCAUAGAUAUUACAUAGAAUACCAAUUGCGAAGGCAGAUUACUAAUAAUCAACUGACACUGAUGGACGAAAGCGUGGGUAGCGAACAGGAUUAGAUACCCUGGUAGUCCACGCCGUAAACGAUGGUUACUAGCUGUUUGGACCUUGUGUCUGAGUGGCUAAGCGAAAGUGAUAAGUAACCCACCUGGGGAGUACGUUCGCAAGAAUGAAACUCAAAGGAAUUGACGGGGGCCCGCACAAGCGGUGGAGCAUGUGGUUUAAUUCGAUGAUACGCGAGGAACCUUACCAGGGCUUAAAUGUAAGUUGCAUUAGUUAGAGAUAGCUAUUUCUCCGGACCACUUACAAGGUGCUGCAUGGUUGUCGUCAGCUCGUGCCGUGAGGUGUCAGGUUAAGUCCUAUAACGAGCGCAACCCCUGUUGUUAGUUGCCAGCGAGUCAUGUCGGGAACUCUAACAAGACUGCCGGUGCAAACCGUGAGGAAGGUGGGGAUGACGUCAAAUCAUCACGGCCCUUACGUCCUGGGCUACACACGUGCUACAAUGGUCGGUACAGAGAGCAGCCACUACGCGAGUAGGAGCGAAUCUUCAAAGCCGAUCACAGUUCGGAUCGGAGUCUGCAACUCGACUCCGUGAAGCUGGAAUCGCUAGUAAUCGGAUAUCAGCCAUGAUCCGGUGAAUACGUUCCCGGGCCUUGUACACACCGCCCGUCAAGCCAUGGAAGUUGGGAGUGCCUGAAGUCCGUUACCGCAAGGAGCGGCCUAGGGUAAAAUCGAUAACUAGGGCUAAGUCGUAACAAGGUAGCCGUACCGGAAGGUGCGGCUGGAACACCUCCUUUCU
rnacentral:rRNA from 1 species